rnacentral:rRNA from 1 species
CCUACGGGUGGCAGCAGUGAGGAAUAUUGGUCAAUGGACGAGAGUCUGAACCAGCCAAGUAGCGUGAAGGAUGACUGCCCUAUGGGUUGUAAACUGCUUUUAUAUGGGAAUAAAAUGUUCCACGUGUGGGAUUUUGUAUGUACCAUAUGAAUAAGGAUCGGCUAACUCCGUGCCAGCAGCCGCGGUAAUACGGAGGAUCCGAGCGUUAUCCGGAUUUAUUGGGUUUAAAGGGAGCGUAGGUGGAUUGUUAAGUCAGCUGUGAAAGUUUGCGGCUCAACCGUAAAAUUGCAGUUGACACUGGCAGUCUUGAGUACAGGAGAGGUAGGCGGAAUUCGUGGUGUAGCGGUGAAAUGCUUAGAUAUCACGAAGAACUCCGAUUGCGAAGGCAGUUCACUGGACUGCAACUGACACUGAGGCUCGAAAGUGUGGAUAUCAAACAGGAUUAGAUACCCCGGUAGUC